UACGUAGGGUGCGAGCGUUGUCCGGAAUUAUUGGGCGUAAAGGGCUCGUAGGCGGUUUGUCACGUCGGGAGUGAAAACUCAGGGCUUAACCCUGAGCCUGCUUCCGAUACGGGCAGACUAGAGGUAUGCAGGGGAGAACGGAAUUCCUGGUGUAGCGGUGAAAUGCGCAGAUAUCAGGAGGAACACCGGUGGCGAAGGCGGAUCUCUGGGCCUUACCUGACGCUGAGGCGCGAAAGCUAGGGGAGCGAACAGG
rnacentral:rRNA from 1 species